ACUCCUACGGGAGGCAGCAGUGGGGAAUAUUGCACAAUGGGCGCAAGCCUGAUGCAGCCAUGCCGCGUGUGUGAAGAAGGCCUUCGGGUUGUAAAGCACUUUUCAGCAGUGAGGAAGGCGGACGUCGUUAAUAGCGGCCUCGUUUGACGUUAGCUGCAGAAGAAGCACCGGCUAACUCCGUGCCAGCAGCCGCGGUAAUACGGAGGGUGCGAGCGUUAAUCGGAAUUACUGGGCGUAAAGCGCAUGCAGGUGGUUUGUUAAGUCAGAUGUGAAAGCCCGGGGCUCAACCUCGGAAUAGCAUUUGAAACUGGCAGACUAGAGUACUGUAGAGGGGGGUAGAAUUUCAGGUGUAGCGGUGAAAUGCGUAGAGAUCUGAAGGAAUACCAGUGGCGAAGGCGGCCCCCUGGACAAAGACUGACGCUCAGAUGCGAAAGCGUGGGGAGCAAACAGGAUUAGAU
rnacentral:rRNA from 1 species